AGAAAAUGAAGGUUUGCGAUGGAGGCUAAGAGAGCGAUAUACUGAGAAAUAGGGGUAUUAGAAGGAAUGCUGAGCAAUUGAAUGUAGCAAAAAGAUUGCUUCAAAUUUCUUCUGCUGCUCCUAUUUUUCAGUAUAUUGCUCAGCGUUGAAGGAGGACGAGCUUCUUGAGGAAGGAGAACAAGAACAAUACCAAGAGUGAAAGUGAUUUUCAGUUGGAGAUAAUCCUGUUGCCUCCUUUUAUAUUUGUGAAUUAAUCACAUUUCCCCUUUUUCUUUGACAGGCAUUAAUCUUGUUGUUUUAAGUCGACCGUUUCAUUGGCAAUACAGCAAAAAGGCAUCCACAGGAUUCAAUGCUUUUUCUUGAUCGAUCGGCAAGAGAAGAAACGUAUCAAGGUGCAAGAGAAGAAAGGAUCGGAGGUGCAAGACAAGAAAGGAUCGGAGGUGCAAGAAAGGAUCGGAGGUGCAAUCGGAGGUGCAAGAAAGGAUCGGAGGUGCAAGACAAGAAAGGAUCGGAGGUGCAAGAGAAUAAUCCACAUCUUUGUGGUGGAUUACAAUGGAUCCGAAAGAACGGCUGUCGCCGUCCGUUUUCUGAUUUUUCCCGGUGCUUUUUAGAGGGAGUUUGUGGGUGAGAGAGAAUCCAUUUUGAAAUUGAGAGAGAAAGCAGGCGAAAGUGGUGGAUCAGUUUGAAAAAGAAGUCGUCCCUGGGGAGGAGAGAUUGAGAGGGAUUUUCGAUUCAAUGGAUCGGAAAGAAUGGCUGUCGCCGUCCGUUUACUGCUUUUUUGGCGGGAGAAAGGCAAGUGCAAAGUCGUUUGGAGUUUAGCUCUCCCAGCGGGGUCCAUUGCCGGGCGUGUUGGUAUGAAAAAUCUGAGGCGGAAUUGAUGGAGGAGGAAAAUGGAGGCCAUGUUUAUUACAUGAUGCAAAUUGGUGUUAUUGAUAUAUAUUUUGUUUUUAAAAUUUGUUCCACGUCUCUUUCUUUCUAUAUGUUGCUAUAGAAUCAUAAUUAUUGAUGCUCAUUUCUCAUGUCAUUGUAAAGAUUCUAAUAAUAUUACGAUGUGAAUCGUAAUAUUGUUCCCACUUUUCAAAUUUCUUUGUUGUCUAUUAUGCAUGAGCAAAGUUAACAUCAUUUAGGAUUAAUGCAAUUACGAUAUCAAA